rnacentral:rRNA from 1 species
GAUGAACGCUGGCGGCGUGCCUAAUACAUGCAAGUAGAACGCUGAAGGAAGGAGCUUGCUCUUUCCGGAUGAGUUGCGAACGGGGGAGUAACGCGUAGGUAACCUGCCUGGUAGCGGGGGAUAACUAUUGGAAACGAUAGCUAAUACCGCAUAACAGUAGAUGUUGCAUGAUAUCUACUUAAAAGGUGCAAUUGCACCACUACCAGAUGGACCUGCGUUGUAUUAGCUAGUUGGUGAGGUAACGGCUCACCAAGGCGACGAUACAUAGCCGACCUGAGAGGGUGAUCGGCCACACUGGGACUGAGACAAGGCCCAGACUCCUACGGGAGGCAGCCGUAGGGGAUCUUCGGCAAUGGACGGAAGUCUGACCGAGCAACGCCGCGUGAGUGAAGAAGGUUUUCGGAUCGUAAAGCUCUGUUGUAAGAGAAGAACGAGUGUGAGAGUGGAAAGUUCACACUGUGACGGUAUCUUACCAGAAAGGGACGGCUAACUACGUG